rnacentral:rRNA from 1 species
UGCAGGCUGCAACCCGCCUGCAUGAAGUCGGAAUCGCUAGUAAUCGCGAGUCAGCAUAUCGCGGUGAAUACGUUCCCGGGUCUUGUACACACGCCCGUCACACCAUGGGAGUUGGCAACACCCGAAGUCGAUGAGCUAACCGUAAGGAGGCAGUCGCCUAAGGUGGGGUUGAUAACUGGGGUGAAGUCGUAACAAGGUAUC